rnacentral:lncRNA from 1 species
GUGAGGGGAGAGGGGCGGCCGAGGGGGAAAAGGGGAAUUUUGUGAGGGGAAGAGGCGACUGAGGGAGCCUGGGGGAUUUUUGUGAGGGGAAAAGGGGGAUCUGAGGGAGGAGAAAGGGCUUGAGGGGAUCGUGAGCCGGUUUGUGAGGGGAAAAGGGGAGUUCGGGGUGGGUUUGUGAGGGGGAAAAGGGGCUCUGAGGGGCUCGGGGGCUGAUUCGUGAGGGGAAAGGGGGGAUACGAGAGGGUGAAAAGGACGAUUGGGGGGUCCUGGUCCCGUCCAUGCGGAAAAAAUGGGAACUGAGUGGGUCUGAGGCGUUUGUGUGAGGGGAAAAGGGUCUUAGAGGGGCCUGAGUAAUUUUGUGAGGUAAAAAGGGUGUUUGGAGGGGGACCUGGGCUGGUUUUUGAGGGGAAAAAGGGGAAUCUGAGAGGGAAAAGGGGGGUAACAGAGUCUGGGGUUGUUCUGUGAGGGGAACCGGGGGUUCCGUGCCCGGUUUGUGACAGCAAAGGGGAUCCUGGGCCGCCCUGAGAGCACUAAAAAGGGUCUGGGGUCAGUUUGUGAGGGGGAAGCGAGGCCUGAAAGGGAUUUGAGAGAUUUUGUGAGGUAAAAAAGAGUGUUUGACGGGAACCUGGCUGGGUUUUUGAGCGUAAAAAGGGAUCUGAGAGGGAAAAUAAUGGAGUGUAAAGGGGUCUUGGGACAUUUUUGGGAGUGGAAAAGGAGAUCCUGGGGUGGUUUAUGUGGAGAAAGGAGGAGAUUUGGGGGGAUCUGGAUCCCUCUGUGAAGGAAGAGAGGGACUGAAGGGGUUUGGGAUUGUUCUGUGAGGGAAUUGGGGGCCUCGGGGCCCCUCUGUGAGGGGCAAAAGGGGGGUCCGAGGGUCUCCCAAUUCCUCUCUUCCCCCUCCAUGAGGGACCCCGGGGUCUCCCAUAGCCCAAAGCCUCCUGUGGGUUGGGGGGUCCUGAGCCAUGGCCCCCUUUAGGGCCAGGUUUGGUGUGGGGAGAGUGCUCUGGGAUGAUCCCCUCCCCAUAUUUUGGGGUCCCGUUUUGGGGUUCCCUUUGGGGCAGCAGUGGGGGUUUGUGUGCACAACCUCAGAUUUUGGGGUCCCAUUUCGGGGUCCCCUGCACCAGUGGGGGUUUGUGUGCACAACCCCAGAUUUUGGGGUCCCCUGCACCAGUGGGGGUUUGUGUGCACAACCCCAAAUUUUGGGGUCCCAUUUCAGGGUU